GGGGUAUAGCUCAGUUGGUAGAGCGCUUGAAUGGCAUUCAAGAGGUCAUCGGUUCGAUCCCGACUAUCUCC
rnacentral:tRNA from 1 species